rnacentral:lncRNA from 1 species
AGAGAAACUCAAAUUAAGCUACAUAUUAUUUUUACUCUUUAUUGAGGAUGAUAAACCAACGAAGAUAAAAUAAUAAAAAUAUUUGACAGUACUGCAGUAUGGUAUUUUUGAGAUGAUAAUAUCAAUGCGGUCAAAAGGAAUUUAUUGUUUUUUAAUAAAAAGAAAAAGAAAAAGAAGAGAAAAGAAAGAUGGAUAGGGAUGGAGUUAGGCAGUAAAAAGAGGAGAGCGAUCACGCGAAUCUCGAGAGCAGAGAGAGAACAACAAGAGGGCACGUGGCAGAACAUGGAGAGAUUGUGAGAGAGUGGGAAAAGGACAGGGCACACGUGUUUGGUCAAAGGAGGACGCGUGGAUAAGGGCAGAAUCCGUACAUGUGUGGCACCCCAUAUUUUACUUCGUCGUACGGACACCUUGUAUUCUGUCGGCUAGUGGACUCUCCCUCACGUGACUUCCUCACGUGACUAAUAAAUUUCUCAUCCACCGUGCAUGUAUAUGUAUGAAUGAAUGUCAUGCUUCCCUUGUAUUGCAUAUGACAUCAACCAUAACAUUCAAUGAAUGCAACAUGGUAAAUAUUCGAACAACCAACCACACACAUGCAAACCCCUGAAAUGGAAACUUCUUUGUUUUCG